CUGACUGCUAUCGGAUUGGUACUAAGCCAUGUGAGUCGUUGUAGCAAUACAAGGCAUACGGCUCAGUAACACGUAGUCAAUCUAACCUAUGGACGGGGAUAACCUCGGGAAACUGAGGAUAAACCCCGAUAGAUCAUUAUACCUGGAACGGUUUAUGGUCCAAAUGAUUCGUCGCCGUAGGGUGGGACUGCGGCCUAUCAGCUUGUUGGUGAGGUAAUGGCCCACCAAGGCUAUUACAGGUACGGGCUCUGAGAGGAGAAGCCCGGAGAUGGGUACUGAGACACGGACCCAGGCCCUAUGGGGCGCAGCAGGCGAGAAACCUUUGCAAUGUGCGCAAGCACGACAAGGUUAAUCCGAGUGUUUCCUGCUAAAGGAAUCUUUUGUUAGUUCUAAAACCACUGAUGAAUAAGGGGUGGGCAAGUUCUGGUGUCAGCCGCCGCGGUAAAACCAGCACCUCAAGUGGUCAGGAUGAUUAUUGGGCCUAAAGCAUCCGUAGCCUGUUCUGUAAGUUUCCGGUUAAAUCCAUUAGCUCAACUAAUGGGCUGCCGAAAAUACUGCAGAACUAGGGAGUGGGAGAGGUAGACGGUACUCGGUAGGAAGGGGUAAAAUCCUUUGAUCUAUUGAUGACCACCUGUGGCGAAGGCGGUCUACCAGAACACGUUCGACGGUGAGGGAUGAAAGCUGGGGGAGCAAACCGGAUUAGAUACCCGGGUAGUCCCAGCUGUAAACGAUGCAGACUCGGUGAUGCCCUGGCUUGUGGCCAGUGCAGUGCCGCAGGGAAGCCGCUAAGUUUGCCGCCUGGGAAGUACGUACGCAAGUAUGAAACUUAAAGGAAUUGGCGGGGGAGCACCACAAGGGGUGAAGCCUGCGGUUC
rnacentral:rRNA from 1 species